CCUACGGGUGGCAGCAGUGGGGAAUAUUGGACAAUGGGGGGAACCCUGAUCCAGCGACGCCGCGUGAGUGAAGAAGUAUUUCGGUAUGUAAAGCUCUAUCAGCAGGGAAGAAAGAAAUGACGGUACCUGACUAAGAAGCCCCGGCUAACUACGUGCCAGCAGCCGCGGGAAUACGUGGGGGGCAAGCGUUAUCCGGAUUUACUGGGUGUAAAGGGAGCGUAGGCGGCGAUGCAAGUCUGAAGUGAAAGGCGGGGGCCCAACCCCCGGACUGCAUUGGAAACUGGAUGGCUGGAGUGAAGGAGAGGUAAGUGGAAUUCCUAGUGUAGCGGUGAAAUGCGUAGAUAUUAGGAGGAACACCAGUGGCGAAGGCGGCUUACUGGACUGUUACUGACGUUGAGGCUCGAAAGCGUGGGGAGCAAACAGGAUUAGAUACCCGUGUAGUC
rnacentral:rRNA from 1 species